rnacentral:rRNA from 1 species
AGAGUUUGAUCCUGGCUCAGGAUAAACGCUGGCGGCGUGCCUAACACAUGCAAGUCGAACGAUCCCGCAAGGGAGAGUGGCGGAAGGGUGAGUAACACGUGGGAAUCUACCUCCUCGCAGGGAACAACCUCUCGAAAGAGAGGCUAAUACCCAAAAGGGUCAGAAAUGAUCAGAGUCGAAAGGCGUGAGGAGAGGAGCCCGCGGCCCAUCAGCUAGUUGGUGAGGUAAUGGCUUACCAAGGCUACGACGGGUAGGGGAUCUGAGAGGAUGUCCCCCACACUGGAACUGAAACACGGUCCAGACGCCUACGGGUGGCAGCAGUGAGGAAUACUGGACAAUGGGCGAAAGCCCGAUCCAGCAACGCCGCGUGGAGGAUGAAGGCCUUCGGGUCGUAAACUUCUUUAGAGGGAGACGAGAAAGGACGGUAUCCCUAGAAUAAGCGACGGCAAACUACGUG